CAUUUCUCUGGCUGUGACCAGGAGCCUCUGGUCCUCUGGCCAUUGCCUUCAUCAGGCCCACAGCUCAGAAGAAUUUUCUCCAUAUCAGUUGCUAGGACCAGCUGCUCCAGAAAUAAGAUUAUAGAUCAUGUGGAGCACAGUGGCAUCAGCUCUUUCCCAUAUCAGAAACCUAAAAAUCCCAUCUGAUCUUGACUGCUCUGAAUCAAUAGAGGCAAAGAGGUACAUAUUUCAGGAAAGCUCCAAAGCAAAUCUAUGCAAGUCUCUAAGGACUACUAUUACUUGAAUGGUAACCAAAAGGAAAUAGGCUGACAAAAUGCAACAGGGCUCAGGGAGGGUUUGCAUAUGGUUGUUUUACAGACUCACCUGCAUGGCAAGUGCUGUGCACCGCCUAUUGCACUGCUCUCCUCUAUGCCCAUGUUUCAUUAUAGCUCUCCCAUUUCUAAACAUGUAAAAAUAGGACAUGCUGGCGUGGUUUAAAUGGUGCUAAGAGCACCGCGGAGAGGCACAGUGAUAGCUGUGUGGGAAACGAGAGAAGAGAGGAAUUCUCCUGAGCAAAGAGCAAUAUCAAGCAAAUGCUGAACUGACAACCUCUGCUGCCGAGACCAAAAUGCUCUGGCAAGAAGCCACCAGCACGUAUAUCCACACGGCAGUGAACAGCCCCUCAGCGGAGAGCGCGUCGGGAAUGUAUUCAGCAUGUAAAGCAUCAGCUGUAUGAAAUACUGCAGACAAGAUAAUCCUGCUGUUUUAUCUAUCUGAGGAAAGUUAGGUUUGGAUUUGAAGGGCAACUCUCCAACUUGUAAAGUCAAAGGCAAACGGGUGUACGCUGGUUGCUGGUCUCACACCUCCCUCAGGUCAAGGAUGAUUCAGGACAACUGAGAGGGGAGUCUCCAGGGCUGGGUUUCUGACUAUGCUGUUUUCUCUCCACUGCAGCUUGGUGCGAUGUUCAGUGCUACCCAAGACACCAACAUUCCAGCACUGCUAUGCCCCGUGCCUGGUGUGCUCUGCUUUUUGGUCUUGAAUAAAGCCACCAGCUCCCCACAAGCAGCUCUACAUGGCUGUGCCCAGUUGGGAUAAUGUCG
ensembl:lncRNA